rnacentral:rRNA from 1 species
UACGUAGGGGGCUAGCGUUGUCCGGAAUCAUUGGGCGUAAAGAGCGUGUAGGCGGCCCGGUAAGUCCGCUGUGAAAGUCAAAGGCUCAACCUUUGAAUGUCAGUGGAUACUGCCGGGCUAGAGUCCGGAAGAGGCGAGUGGAAUUCCUGGUGUAGCGGUGAAAUGCGCAGAUAUCAGGAAGAACACCCGUGGCGAAGGCGGCUCUCUGGGACGUGACUGACGCUGAGACGCGAAAGCGUGGGGAGCGAACAGG